GAUGAACGCUAGCGGCAGGCUUAACACAUGCAAGUCGAACGGUAACAGGGAUUGCUUGCAAUCCGCUGACGAGUGGCGCACGGGUGCGUAACGCGUAUACAAUCUACCUUAUACAGGGGUAUAGCCCGAAGAAAUUUGGAUUAAUCCCCCAUAGUACAUAAUUGAGGCCUCUUAAUAAUGUUAAAACUACGGUGGUAUAAGAUGAGUAUGCGUCCUAUUAGCUAGUUGGUAUGGUAACGGCAUACCAAGGCAACGAUAGGUAGGGGUCCUGAGAGGGAGAUCCCCCACACUGGUACUGAGACACGGACCAGACUCCUACGGGAGGCAGCAGUGAGGAAUAUUGGACAAUGGGAGGAAUCCUGAUCCAGCCAUGCCGCGUGCAGGAAGACUGCCCUACGGGUUGUAAACUGCUUUUAUACAGGAAGAAUAAGGUGUACGUGUACACUGAUGACGGUACUGUAAGAAUAAGCACCGGCUAACUCCG
rnacentral:rRNA from 1 species